rnacentral:rRNA from 1 species
GACGAACGCUGGCGGCGUGCUUAACACAUGCAAGUCGAACGGAAAGGCCCUGCUUUUGUGGGGUGCUCGAGUGGCGAACGGGUGAGUAACACGUGAGUAACCUGCCCUUGACUUUGGGAUAACUUCAGGAAACUGGGGCUAAUACCGGAUAGGAGCUACUGCUGCAUGGUGGGGGUUGGAAAGUUUCGGCGGUUGGGGAUGGACUCGCGGCUUAUCAGCUUGGUGGUGGGGUAGUGGCUUACCAAGGCUUUGACGGGUAGCCGGCCUGAGAGGGUGACCGGCCACAUUGGGACUGAGAUACGGCCCAGACUCCUACGGGAGGCAGCAGUGGGGAAUAUUGCACAAUGGGCGGAAGCCUGAUGCAGCAACGCCGCGUGCGGGAUGACGGCCUUCGGGUUGUAAACCGCUUUCGCCUGUGACGAAGCGUGAGUGACGGUAAUGGGUAAAGAAGCACCGGCUAACUACGUG